rnacentral:sRNA from 1 species
CAGAAUCUUUGUUGCCUGGCUAUGAUCAGUAUCACAUUGGUCUAAACGACAAAAAACAAAAUAGCGUUUACAGAUGGGAAAACGGAGAGAAAACUAACUAUACGGACUUUGGGAAGCAACAUGUUUCAAGCAUAGCUUUUGAGUAUGUAGUUAUGUACAAACAUUACUGGAUUGAGAGUUAUAAUUAUGAAUAUAAGUUUAUCUGCCAAACCAACGCAGAAAAUGAGUUCUUCUUCUUAAGUGGUUCCAAUUUUAUUAAUAAGACACUCAUAGCAAAAGCACGAUAUAAAGUUUUAUGGGAAUGUGGAGUACUUGACAGAGAAAACCAUCAGCUGAAAUUAUUGUACCGAAAAAUUGAUGGAACCAAUUUACACUUGUAC